rnacentral:rRNA from 1 species
UACGUAGGAGGCGAGCGUUGUCCGGAGUUACUGGGCGUAAAGGGCGCGUAGGCGGAUUGUACAGUCAGGCGUGAAAUUCCCGGGCUCAACCUGGGGGCUGCGCUUGAGACGUGCGAUCUUGAGUGGGGAAGAGGGUCGUGGAAUUCCCAGUGUAGAGGUGAAAUUCGUAGAUAUUGGGAAGAACACCGGUGGCGAAGGCGGCGACCUGGUCCUUGACUGACGCUGAGGCGCGAAAGCGUGGGGAGCAAACAGG